UAUCUGGUUGAUCCUGCCAGUAGUCAUAUGCUUGUCUCAAAGAUUAAGCCAUGCAUGUCUAAGUACAUGCCGAAACCAAGGCGAAACCGCGAAUGGCUCAUUAAAUCAGUUAUGGUUCCUUAGAUUGUUUCAUGCUACUUGGAUAACUGUGGCAAUUCUAGAGCUAAUACAUGCAAUGAACCUGGGCUGCCCUCGGGAUGUUCGGGUGCUUUUAUUAGACCAAGAUCAAACGGGUCUCUGGCCCGUGGUUUGUGGUGACUCUGGAUAACUUUCGCUGAUCGCACGCCUUCGGGCGGCGACGCUUCUUUCAAGUGUCUGCCUUAUCAACUGUCGAUGGUAGGUUAUGCGCCUACCAUGGUUGUCACGGGUAACGGAGAAUCAGGGUUCGGUUCCGGAGAGGGAGCCUGAGAAACGGCUACCACAUCCAAGGAAGGCAGCAGGCGCGCAAAUUACCCACUCCCGGCACGGGGAGGUAGUGACGAAAAAUAACAAUACGGGACUCUUUUGAGGCCCCGUAAUUGAAAUGAGUACACUCUAAAUCCUUUAACGAGGAUCAAUUGGAGGGCAAGUCUGGUGCCAGCAGCCGCGGUAAUUCCAGCUCCAAUAGCGUAUGCUAAAGCUGCUGCGGUUAAAAAGCUCGUAGUUGGAUCUCAGUUCCAGGCGGGUGGUGCAUCUAACCGAUGCGACAGCCCGGGCUGAACAUCAUGCCUUCUAUCCUCUGGUGUCCUUCACUGGAUGCCUUUGGGUGGUCGGUGCAUUUACUUUGAAAAAAUUGGAGUGCUCAACGCAGGCGCAUUGCCUGAACACUUACGCAUGGAAUAAUAGAACAAGACCCCGUUUCUGUUCUGUUGGUUUUUGGAAAACGAGGUAAUGAUCAAGAGGGACGGACGGGGGCAUUCGUAUUGCGGCGCUAGAGGUGAAAUUCUUGGACCGUCGCAAGACGAACUACUGCGAAAGCAUUUGCCAAGAAUGUUUUCAUUGAUCAAGAACGAAAGUUAGAGGUUCGAAGGCGAUCAGAUACCGCCCUAGUUCUAACCAUAAACGAUGCCAACCAGCAAUCCGCCUGAGUUACUCAAAUGACUCGGCGGGCAGCUUCCGGGAAACCAAAGUAUUUGGGUUCCGGGGGAAGUAUGGUUGCAAAGCUGAAACUUAAAGGAAUUGACGGAAGGGCACCACCAGGAGUGGAGCCUGCGGCUUAAUUUGACUCAACACGGGAAAACUUACCCGGCCCGGACACUGGGAGGAUUGACAGAUUGAGAGCUCUUUCUUGAUUCGGUGGAUGGUGGUGCAUGGCCGUUCUUAGUUGGUGGAGCGAUUUGUCUGGUUAAUUCCGAUAACGAACGAGACUCCAGCCUACUAAAUAGGUGCGAGGUUCUCUGCAUCUUGCACCCUUCUUAGAGGGACAAGCGGCUCCUAGCCGCACGAAACGGAGCAAUAACAGGUCUGUGAUGCCCUUAGAUGUCCGGGGCCGCACGCGCGCUACACUGAAGAAAGCAGCGUGUGUUUUCCCUGCCUGAAAAGACUGGGUAACCCAAUGAACCUUCUUCGUGAUUGGGAUAGGGGAUUGCAAUUAUUCCCCUUGAACGAGGAAUUCCCAGUAAGCGCGAGUCAUAAGCUCGCGCUGAUUACGUCCCUGCCCUUUGUACACACCGCCCGUCGCUACUACCGAUUGGAUGAUUUAGUGAGGUCUUCGGAUCGAUACCCGUAGCGACCGUUCGGCCGCGCCGGAGUGUUGAGAAGAUGACCGAACUUGAUCAUUUAGAGGAAGUAAAAGUCGUAACAAGUUUUCCGUAGGUGAACCUGCGGAAGGAUCAUUA